ensembl:snRNA U6 U6 spliceosomal RNA
GUGCCUGCUUCGGCAGCACAGAGACUAAAAUUGGAACAGCAUAGGGAAGAUUAACCCGGCGCCUGUGAAAGGACGACGUGCAAAUUUAUGAAGCAGUCUAUAUUUUU